AUUCAGUGAGUGAUGUAAAAAUAAAUGUCUGAACAUAUGAAUCCAAUAUUGAUGUCAGCAUUUAACUCAUUAAAA
ensembl:snoRNA small nucleolar RNA SNORD72